rnacentral:rRNA from 1 species
CCUACGGGAGGCAGCAGUGAGGAAUAUUGGUCAAUGGACGAGAGUCUGAACCAGCCAAGUAGCGUGAAGGAUGACUGCCCUAUGGGUUGUAAACUUCUUUUAUAUGGGAAUAAAACGUUCCACGUGUGGGAUUUUGUAUGUACCUUAUGAAUAAGGAUCGGCUAACUCCGUGCCAGCAGCCGCGGUAAUACGGAGGAUCCGAGCGUUAUCCGGAUUUAUUGGGUUUAAAGGGAGCGUAGGUGGAUUGUUAAGUCAGUUGUGAAAGUUUGCGGCUCAACCGUAAAAUUGCAGUUGAAACUGGCAGUCUUGAGUACAGUUGAGGUAGGCGGAAUUCGUGGUGUAGCGGUGAAAUGCUUAGAUAUCACGAAGAACUCCGAUUGCGAAGGCAGUUCACUGGACUGCAACUGACACUGAGGCUCGAAAGUGUGGGUAUCAAACAGGAUUAGAUACCCUGGUAGUC